GAUGAACGCUGGCGGCGUGCCUAAUACAUGCAAGUCGAGCGAACAGACGAGGAGCUUGCUCCCCUGACGUUAGCGGCGGACGGGUGAGUAACACGUGGAUAACCUACCUAUAAGACUGGGAUAACUUCGGGAAACCGGAGCUAAUACCGGAUAAUAUAUUGAACCGCAUGGUUCAAUAGUGAAAGACGGUUUUGCUGUCACUUAUAGAUGGAUCCGCGCCGCAUUAGCUAGUUGGUAAGGUAACGGCUUACCAAGGCAACGAUGCGUAGCCGACCUGAGAGGGUGAUCGGCCACACUGGAACUGAGACACGGUCCAGACUCCUACGGGAGGCAGCAGUAGGGAAUCUUCCGCAAUGGGCGAAAGCUUGACGGAGCAACGCCGCGUGAGUGAUGAAGGUCUUCGGAUCGUAAAACUCUGUUAUUAGGGAAGAACAAAUGUGUAAGUAACUAUGCACGUCUUGACGGUACCUAACCAGAAAGCCACGGCUAACUACGUG
rnacentral:rRNA from 1 species